GACGAACGCUGGCGGCGUGCUUAACACAUGCAAGUCGAACGGAAAGGCCCUGCUUUUGUGGGGUGCUCGAGUGGCGAACGGGUGAGUAACACGUGAGUAACCUGCCCUUGUCUUUGGGAUAACUUCAGGAAACUGGGGCUAAUACCGGAUAGGAGCUCCUGCUGCAUGGUGGGGGUUGGAAAGUUUCGGCGGUUGGGGGUGGACUCGCGGCUUAUCAGCUUGUUGGUGGGGUAGUGGCUUACCAAGGCUUUGACGGGUAGCCGGCCUGAGAGGGUGACCGGCCACAUUGGGACUGAGAUACGGCCCAGCCUCCUACGGGAGGCAGCAGUGGGGAGUAUUGCACAAUGGGCGGGAGCCUGAUGCAGCAACGCCGGGUGCGGGAUGACGGCCUUCGGGUUGUAAACCGCUUUCGCCUGUGACGAAGCGUGAUUGACGGUAAUGGGUAAAGAAGCACCGGCUAACUACGUG
rnacentral:rRNA from 1 species